rnacentral:rRNA from 1 species
AUGGCUCAGGAUGAACGCUAGCUACAGGCUUAACACAUGCAAGUCGAGGGGGCAGCAUGAAGUCAGCUGCUGACUUGAUGGCGACCGGCGCACGGGUGCGUAACACGUAUCCAAUCUACCCAUGGCUCAGGGAUAGCCUUUCGAAAGAAAGAUUAAUACCUGAUGGCCUUACAUGGAGACAUCUCCUAGUAAGUAAAGAUUUAUCGGCGAUGGAUGAGGAUGCGUCUGAUUAGAUAGUAGGCGGGGUAACGGCCCACCUAGUCGACGAUCAGUAGGGGUUCUGAGAGGAAGGUCCCCCACAUUGGAACUGAGACACGGUCCAAACCCCUACGGGAGGCAGCAGUGAGGAAUAUUGGUCAAUGGACGAGAGUCUGAACCAGCCAAGUAGCGUGAAGGACGACUGCCCUAUGGGUUGUAAACUUCUUUUGUUUGGGAAUAAAGUGGGCCACGUGUGGCCUUUUGUAUGUACCAUACGAAUAAGCAUCGGCUAAUUCCGUGCCAGCCGCUGC